rnacentral:rRNA from 1 species
GAUGAACGCCGACGGCGUGCUUAACACAUGCAAGUCGAGCGAGAAACUACAUGCAGACACUUCGGUAGAAGCGAGUAGCGGAAAGCGGCGGACGGGUGAGUAACGCGUAGGCAACCUGCCCUUCACAGAGGUAUAGCCUCGGGAAACCGGGAUUAAAACCACAUAAAAUCAUAGGUUCGCAUGAACCAAAGGUCAAAGAUUUAUCGGUGAAGGAUGGGCCUGCGUCUGAUUAGCUGGUUGGUAGGGUAAAAGCCUACCAAGGCGACGAUCAGUAGCCGACCUGAGAGGGUGAUCGGCCACAUUGGAACUGAGACACGGUCCAAACUCCUACGGGAGGCAGCAGUGGGGGAUAUUGCACAAUGGGGGAAACCCUGAUGCAGCAACGCCGCGUGAGGUAUGAAGGCCUUUGGGUUGUAAGCCUCUGUCCUAGGGGAAGAAAAAAAUGACGGUACCCGAGGAGGAAGCCCGGUA